rnacentral:rRNA from 1 species
GACGAACGCUGGCGGCGUGCUUAACACAUGCAAGUCGAACGGUGAAGCGCCUUCCUUUUUGGUGGGUGUGGAUGAGUGGCGAACGGGUGAGUAACACGUGAGUAACCUGCCCCCUUCUUCUGGAUAACCGCAUGAAAGUGUGGCUAAUACGGGAUAUUCUGGGUCUGUCGCAUGAUGGGUCUGGGAAAGAUAUUGUUUCGGUGGGGGAUGGGCUCGCGGCCUAUCAGCUUGUUGGUGGGGUGAUGGCCUACCAAGGCGGUGACGGGUAGCCGGCCUGAGAGGGUGGACGGUCACACUGGGACUGAGACACGGCCCAGACUCCAACGGGAGGCAGCAGUGGGGAAUAUUGCACAAUGGGCGCAAGCCUGAUGCAGCGACGCCGCGUGAGGGAUGGAGGCCUUCGGGUUGUGAACCUCUUUCGCCAGUGAAGCAGGCCUGCCUCGUUUGUGGGUGGGUUGACGGUAGCUGGAUAAGAAGCGCCGGCUAACUACGUG